rnacentral:misc_RNA from 1 species
UGACAUUCCAGGACCAGACGCCGCUGCGCCGGGUCGAGGAAAUGCGUGCCGACUUCGUCGCCAAUGCGAGCCACGAAUUACGCACCCCGCUGGCGGCGCUGUCGGGGUUCAUCGAUACGCUGCAAGGUCCCGCGCGCGACGCGAGGAUGCCAAGGCGCGCGAACGCUUUCUCGGCAUCAUGCACGCGCAGGCGACGCGCAUGGCCCGUCUGAUCGACGAUCUGCUGUCGCUGUCACGGGUCGAACUCAGCGCGCAUGUA